UCCUUUUAAGGACAAGGAUAGCUGUCUUCGGAUAGCUUGACUAGGUUGAGCAAGCAUUUUUUACACUGUAUUCUAUUUCUUUUGCAUUGUUAAGCAUUGGUUUUCAUUACAUUUAGUUUAUGAUCAAGUAUGUUAUGUAAAUAAUCAUGGUAACAAGUAUAUUUUCACAUAUAAUAAUAGACGUUUAAGAAUAUCUGUCUUUGGUGAAGUUAUCUUGCAUGGAUCAAAAAUUUACAGAC
rnacentral:misc_RNA from 1 species